UUUUGUACCUUUUGUAUCAGGGUUGAUUAAAAUUUAUUUAAUGAUUUUAAAUAUCUCGAAAAUAAGGGAGCUAAAUUUAUAUUAUUUUUUUUGUAGCAAUAAAAUUAUAAAUAUAGAUUUAGAAAUUAAAUGUUAAACGAACUUAUUAAUAUCUAGUUUUUUUAGAAAUAAAUUUAAUUUAGAUAUAAUUAUUUUAGUAAAUUAAAUUUUAUUUUAAUUUAUUAAUUUUUAUAUUAAAAAUUUAUGGGAUAAUCUAUAAAUUUAAGAUAAAAAUUUAAUUUUAAUUUUUAAUGUUAUAGAGAUAAUAUUUUUCUUUAAUUUUAAUAAUUUAAUAAUUUAAUAUUUAUAAAUUAAUAAUGAUUUAAAUUUAUAUUUUAUUUUUCUAUAAAAAUUUAUAUUUUAAUUAAUAAAAUAUAGAAAUAAUGAUUAGAUUAGUAAUAAAGUUAUAUUUUAUAAUGAUAUUUUGUAUUAUAUAAUUUAAAGGAAUUCGGCAAAUAUAUUAUUCACCUGUUUAUCAAAAACAUGUCCUGUUGAUUAUAAUUUUAGGUCGAUCUGCUCAAUGAAUUAUUUUAAAUAGCUGCAGUAUGUUGACUGUACAAAGGUAGCAUAAUAAAUUGUCUUUUAAUUGAAGAAUUGUAUGAAAGAAUUAAUGAAAUAAUAACUGUCUCUAAAUUAUUAAAUGAAUUUAAAUUUUUAGUUAAAAUUCUAAAAUUUAAUUAUGGGACGAUAAGACCCUAUAG
rnacentral:rRNA from 1 species